UUAUACCCCUGGCUAAGAGGGUUUGUUUGAAUGGGACUGAGUGUGUGGCGAGAUGAUAUACAGUGGGGUCCGAAAUUAUUGACACCCCUGAUAAAGAUGAGCAAAUAUGACUGUAUAAAAUAUAUAAAUUAGAAAAAUACUGAACUAUAUUGUAUGCUGAAAACAAUUGGGAAUAUAUAUUAUUUUUUACUAAUACAAUUGCUCACAGAGGUAGGGGUCAAAAUUGACACCCAUUUUCAAUACCUUACCUUGUGAGGAUAACCACACUGAGCCUUUUUAAAAAUGUUUUAUGAGCCGGAGAACCCGCUGGGAGGGAUAUGUGUGGCCAAGAGCUCAAUUUUCAUGUCAUCUGACCAAAGAACUGGUUCCAAUCCAAGUGCCAAUGCCCUUUAGCAAACUCCAGGCGUUUACAUUUGUUGGACGACAUGAAAAUAGAGCUCUUUGGCCACACACAGUAGUGGUGGAUUUGGUGUCAAAAUUACAAUGUAUGAGCAGAAAAUAACACCAUAACUACUGUAAAAUAUGGUGGUGGAUCUUUAGUCCUGGGGCCUUUAAGGUCAACAGCAUCAUGAACGUUACCCAGUAUCAGGACAUUUCAGCCAAAAACUUGGUUGUCUCUGCCAUGACUUGUCCACAAGUGGAUCUUCCAGCAAGACAAUAACCCCAAACAUACAUCAAAAUCCCCAAAUAAAUGGUCAAUUGACCACAAAAUCAACAUUUUGCAAUGGCUAUUUCAGUCUCCAGACUUGAACCCCAUUGAAAACCUGUGGUUUGUUUCAAGUUUUAAUGUCACAUGCACAAGUACUGUGAAAUGCCUUUCUUGCUAACCCAAAACCCAACAUUGCAAUAAUCAAUAACAAUGUAUUACUAGAAAACAAUAACAAGAGAAAUAAGAGUAAGAAAUAUGAAAGAGUCAGUGAGUGAGCAUACUACAAACAGGAAAUAUUUAAAAAGUCAGUUCCAAUACCAUAUAUACAGGUUCAGAUUCAGGGAUACUGGAGUGAUGGAAGUAGAUAUAUAUAGGGGGAAGGUGACUAUAUACAGGUUCAGGGAUACUGGAGUGAUAGAGGUAGAUAUAUAGAGGGGUAAGGUGACUAUAUACAGGUUCAGGGAUGCAAGUAGAUAUGUAUAGGGGUAAGAUGACUAUAUACAGGUUCAGGGAUACUGGAGUGAUGGAAGUAGAUAUGUAUAGGGGUAAGGUGACUAUAUACAGGUUCAGGGAUACUGGAGUGAUAGAGGUAGAUAUGUAUAGGGUUAAGGUGACUAUAAACAGGUUCAGGGAUACUGGAGUGAUGGAAGUAGAUAUGUAUAGGGGUAAGGUGACUAUAUACAGGUUCAGGGAUACUGGAGUGAUGGAAGUAGAUAUGUAUAGGGGUAAGAUGACUAUAUACAGGUUCAGGGAUACUGGAGUGAUGGAAGUAGAUAUGUAUAGGGUUAAGGUGACUAUAUACAGGUUCAGGGAUACUGGAGUGAUGGAAGUAGAUAUGUAUAGGGGUAAGGUGACUAUAUACAGGUUCAGGGAUACUGGAGUGAUGGAAGUAGAUAUGUAUAGGGGAAGGUGACUAUAUACAGGUUCAGGGAUACUGGAGUGAUGGAAGUAGAUAUGUAUAGGGGGAAGGUGACUAUAUACAGGUUCAGGGAUACUGGAGUGAUGGAAGUAGAUGUGUAUAGGGGUAAGGUGACUAUAUACAGGUUCAGGGAUACUGGAGUGAUGGAGGUAGAUGUGUAUGGGGUAAGGUGACUAUAUACAGGUUCAGGGAUACUGGAGUGAUGGAAGUAGAUAUGUAUAGGGGUAAGAUGACUAUAUACAGGUUCAGGGAUACUGGAGUGAUGGAAGUAGAUAUGUAUAGGGGGAAGGUGACUAUAUACAGGUUCAGGGAUACUGGAGUGAUGGAAGUAGAUAUGUAUAGGGGUAAGGUGACUAUAUACAGGUUCAGGGAUACUGGAGUGAUGGAAGUAGAUAUGUAUAGGGGUAAGGUGACUAUAUACAGGUUCAGGGAUACUGGAGUGAUGGAAGUAGAUAUGUAUAGGGGGAAGGUGACUAUAUACAGGUUCAGGGAUACUGGAGUGAUGGAAGUAGAUAUGUAUAGGGGUAAGAUGACUAUAUACAGGUUCAGGGAUACUGGAGUGAUGGAAGUAGAUAUGUAUAGGGGUAAGAUGACUAUAUACAGGUUCAGGGAUACUGGAGUGAUGGAAGUAGAUAUGUAUAGGGGUAAGAUGACUAUAUACAGGUUCAGGGAUACUGGAGUGAUGGAGGUAGAUGUGUAUGGGGUAAGGUGACUAUAUACAGGUUCAGGGAUACUGGAGUGAUGGAAGUAGAUAUGUAUAGGGGUAAGAUGACUAUAUACAGGUUCAGGGAUACUGGAGUGAUGGAAGUAGAUAUGUAUAGGGGUAAGAUGACUAUAUACAGGUUCAGGGAUACUGGAGUGAUGGAAGUAGAUAUGUAUAGGGGUAAGAUGACUAUAUACAGGUUCAGGGAUACUGGAGUGAUGGAGGUAGAUGUGUAUGGGGUAAGGUGACUAUAUACAGGUUCAGGGAUACUGGAGUGAUGGAAGUAGAUAU